rnacentral:rRNA from 1 species
AGGAUGAACGCUGGCGGCGUGCUUAACACAUGCAAGUCGAACGGUGAAGCCCAGCUUGCUGGGUGGAUCAGUGGCGAACGGGUGAGUAACACGUGAGCAACCUGCCCCUGACUCUGGGAUAAGCGCUGGAAACGGCGUCUAAUACUGGAUAUGUGACGUGGCCGCAUGGUCUGCGUCUGGAAAGAAUUUCGGUUGGGGAUGGGCUCGCGGCCUAUCAGCUUGUUGGUGAGGUAAUGGCUCACCAAGGCGUCGACGGGUAGCCGGCCUGAGAGGGUGACCGGCCACACUGGGACUGAGACACGGCCCAGACUCCUACGGGAGGCAGCAGUGGGGAAUAUUGCACAAUGGGCGCAAGCCUGAUGCAGCAACGCCGCGUGAGGGAUGACGGCCUUCGGGUUGUAAACCUCUUUUAGCAGGGAAGAAGCGAAAGUGACGGUACCUGCAGAAAAAGCGCCGGCUAACUACGUGCCAGCAGCCGCGGUAAUACGUAGGGCGCAAGCGUUAUCCGGAAUUAUUGGGCGUAAAGAGCUCGUAGGCGGUUUGUCGCGUCUGCUGUGAAAUCCGGAGGCUCAACCUCCGGCCUGCAGUGGGUACGGGCAGACUAGAGUGCGGUAGGGGAGAUUGGAAUUCCUGGUGUAGCGGUGGAAUGCGCAGAUAUCAGGAGGAACACCGAUGGCGAAGGCAGAUCUCUGGGCCGUAACUGACGCUGAGGAGCGAAAGGGUGGGGAGCAAACAGGCUUAGAUACCCUGGUAGUCCACCCCGUAAACGUUGGGAACU